rnacentral:rRNA from 1 species
GUAGGGAAUAUUGCACAAUGGGCGAAAGCCUGAUCCAGCCAUGCCGCGUGUGUGAAGAAGGUCUUCGGAUUGUAAAGCACUUUAAGUUGGGAGGAAGGGCAGUAAGUUAAUACCUUGCUGUUUUGACGUUACCGACAGAAUAAGCACCGGCUAACUUCGUGCCAGCAGCCGCGGUAAUACGAAGGGUGCAAGCGUUAAUCGGAAUUACUGGGCGUAAAGCGCGCGUAGGUGGUUUUGUAAGUUGGAGGUGAAAUCCCCGGGCUCAACCUGGGAACUGCCUCCAAAACUGCAUGACUAGAGUACGGUAGAGGGUAGUGGAAUUUCCUGUGUAGCGGUGAAAUGCGUAGAUAUAGGAAGGAACACCAGUGGCGAAGGCGACUACCUGGACUGAUACUGACACUGAGGUGCGAAAGCGUGGGGAGCAAACAGGAUUAGAUACCCGGGUAGUCC